rnacentral:rRNA from 1 species
UACAGAGGGGGCAAGCGUUGUUCGGAAUUACUGGGCGUAAAGGGCGCGUAGGCGGCCCGCUAAGUCGAACGUGAAAUCCCCGAGCUCAACUCGGGAACUGCGUCCGAUACUGGCGGGCUUGAAUCCGGGAGAGGGAUGCGGAAUUCCAGGUGUAGCGGUGAAAUGCGUAGAUAUCAGGAGGAACACCCAUGGCGAAGGCAGCUAACUGGGCAUUAUCUGACGCUGAGGCGCGAAAGCGUGGGUAGCAAACAGG